rnacentral:tRNA from 1 species
GGUUGUGGCUCAGUGGUAGAGCACUUGCCUCAAAUGUGUAAGGCACUGGGUUCAAUUCUCAGCACCA